ACGGAAGGCAGCAGCUAAGAAUAUUCCGCAAUGGACGAAAGUCUGACGGAGCGACGCCGCGUGGAUGAUGGAGGUCGGAAGAUUGUAAAAUCCUUUAUAACUGAGGAAUAAGCAGUGUGAGAGAAACGCAUUGCGGUGACUGUAGGUUAUGAAUAAGCAACGGCUAAUUACGUGCCAGCAGCCGCGGUAACACGUAAGUUGCGAGCGUUGUUCGGAAUUAUUGGGCGUAAAGGGCAUGUAGGCGGUUUUGCAAGCUUGAUGUGAAAGGCAGGAGCUUAACUCCUGGACUGCGUUGAGAACUGCAUGACUAGAGUCACUGAGGGGCAAUCAGAAUUCCAGGUGUAGGGGUGAAAUCUGUAGAUAUCUGGAAGAAUACCAAUGGCGAAGGCAGAUUACCGGCAGAUGACUGACGCUGAAGUGCGAAGGUGCGGGGAGCAAACAGGAUUAGAUACCCUGGUA
rnacentral:rRNA from 1 species